rnacentral:rRNA from 1 species
GCUUUUUCUUUUCACCGGAGCUUGCUCCACCGAAAGAAAAAGAGUGGCGAACGGGUGAGUAACACGUGGGUAACCUGCCCAUCAGAAGGGGAUAACACUUGGAAACAGGUGCUAAUACCGUAUAACACUAUUUUCCGCAUGGAAGAAAGUUGAAAGGCGCUUUUGCGUCACUGAUGGAUGGACCCGCGGUGCAUUAGCUAGUUGGUGAGGUAACGGCUCACCAAGGCAACGAUGCAUAGCCGACCUGAGAGGGUGAUCGGCCACACUGGGACUGAGACACGGCCCAGACUCCUACGGGAGGCAGCAGUAGGGAAUCUUCGGCAAUGGACGAAAGUCUGACCGAGCAACGCCGCGUGAGUGAAGAAGGUUUUCGGAUCGUAAAACUCUGUUGUUAGAGAAGAACAAGGAUGAGAGUAAAACGUUCAUCCCUUGACGGUAUCUAACCAGAAAGCCACGGCUAACUACGUGCCAGCAGCCGCGGUAAUACGUAGGUGGCAAGCGUUGUCCGGAUUUAUUGGGCGUAAAGCGAGCGCAGGCGGUUUCUUAAGUCUGAUGUGAAAGCCCCCGGCUCAACCGGGGAGGGUCAUUGGAAACUGGGAGACUUGAGUGCAGAAGAGGAGAGUGGAAUUCCAUGUGUAGCGGUGAAAUGCGUAGAUAUAUGGAGGAACACCAGUGGCGAAGGCGGCUCUCUGGUCUGUAACUGACGCUGAGGCUCGAAAGCGUGGGGAGCGAACAGGAUUAGAUACCCUGGUAGUCCACGCCGUAAACGAUGAGUGCUAAGUGUUGGAGGGUUUCCGCCCUUCAGUGCUGCAGCAAACGCAUUAAGCACUCCGCCUGGGGAGUACGACCGCAAGGUUGAAACUCAAAGGAAUUGACGGGGCCCGCACAAGCGGUGGAGCAUGUGGUUUAAUUCGAAGCAACGCGAAGAACCUUACCAGGUCUUGACAUCCUUUGACCCCUCUAGAGAUAGAGCUUCCCCUUCGGGGCAAGUGACAGGUGGUGCAUGGUGUCGUCAGCUCGUGUCGUGAGAUGUUGG